UCGGGAAAAGCGGGGAUACGUCUUUGAAAUGCUUUAAAAAUAAGCAAGUGACGAGUAGAUUUAGGAUAAGGAUCAGAUAUAAAUUUUGAACAAAUAGUCAGUAAGAAAUCACUCACUCAAGACAGUAUCCGGUCACUUCCAGCCACAACAAAUUUUAAUAUGAAAAGCACAUCACUACCUUUGGUUUCCUUGGUGGUACUGCUUGCGGUUAGUCUGCCAGGAUCGACUGCGGAUCCUGUAGGAACUUGUCCAGCAGUUGAUGGCGCGAUCCCAGUUUACUUGCCAGAUUCUGUUAGUUGCGAGGUAUUUUAUGAAUGCAGCAACGGUGUCGCAACUGAAAAUAUUUGUCCACCCAACCCUUCCGGAGUUGGAAAUUUGCACUGGAACAAAUCCUUAAACGUCUGCGAUUAUCCAGAAAACGCGAAUUGCUCUCUAUAACAAACAUUGAGAAAUUAAUAUAGAUUAUGUUUUACUGCAGGACGCUUUCAUUCAUUGUUAAAUGUAAUUUCUAGUAUCGCAUACCGGUAAACCAAAAAUAUGGGCACCAAAUAAAUGUUUUUUUUUUU